rnacentral:misc_RNA from 1 species
GCAAACUUGGUCAUUUAGAGGAAGUAAAAGUCGUAACAAGGUAACCGUAGGUGAACCUGCGGUUGGAUCAUUAACAAAUUAUAUUUGUUUAAUGAAUUUUGGAUGUAAAAAGUCCAAUUUUCAUUUUUCAACACCUGUGCAUUUCGGUGCACCUGUGUCUUGGUGCUAUCUAUUUUUUCUCUUGUAGAAAAUUUGGAUGCACCAUGAUCUUACACUCCAUUUAGUCAUAAAAACCAUUAUUUAUUUAAUUAUAAAUAAAAAAACAACUUUUGACAACGGAUCUCUUGGCUCUUGCAUCGAUGAAGAACGCAGC